rnacentral:rRNA from 1 species
CAGCUCAAAAUUUGAAAUCUGCGCCUCGGCCCGAGUUGUAAUUUGCAGAGGAUGCUUCUGGCGCGGUGCCUUCCGAGUUCCCUGGAACGGGACGCCACAGAGGGUGAGAGCCCCGUAUGGUCGGACACCAAGCCUGUGUGAAGCUCCUUCGACGAGUCGAGUAGUUUGGGAAUGCUGCUCUAAAUGGGAGGUAAAUCUCUUCUAAAGCUAAAUACCGGCCAGAGACCGAUAGCGCACAAGUAGAGUGAUCGAAAGAUGAAAAGCACCUUGAAAAGGGGGUUAAAUAGUACGUGAAAUUGUUGAAAGGGAAGCACUUGUGACCAGACUUGGGCCGGGCGGCUCAUCAGGGGUUCUCCCCUGUGCACUCCGCCCGGCACAG